rnacentral:rRNA from 1 species
GACAGAGGGUGCAAACGUUGUUCGGAAUUACUGGGCGUAAAGCGCAUGUAGGCGGCCAAGCAGGUCGGAUGUGAAAUCCCCCGGCUCAACCAAGGAAGUGCAUUCGAAACCGCAUGGCUCGAGUCCCGGAGAGGAGGGUGGAAUUCUCGGUGUAGAGGUGAAAUUCGUAGAUAUCGAGAGGAACACCGGUGGCGAAAGCGGCCUUCUGGACGAGGACUGACGCUGAGAUGCGAAAGCGUGGGGAGCAAACAGG